UUUUCCAACAAAGGGAGAUAAUUUUGGAACUUUUCAAUGAUGUAUACAUUUUGAAAGUCAUCUGGGGCCAACACGAAUUGAUUGUUUUCAAUGAUUUUUGUACCAUAUGAUAAAGUAACAACUACAAAAGGAAAUAAAUAAAAUUUGUAAUGAAAAACAAAUGUUUGAUUUUUUUCUGAAAUUUUUAUACCCUCGAGCCUCCUUAAGUAUAUAUUCUUAUCAUACU
rnacentral:lncRNA from 1 species